AUUGAACGCUGGCGGCAUGCCUUACACAUGCAAGUCGAACGGCAGCACGGGUGCUUGCCCCUGGUGGCGAGUGGCGAACGGGUGAGUAAUACAUCGGAACAUGUCCUGUAGUGGGGGAUAGCCCGGCGAAAGCCGGAUUAAUACCGCAUACGAUCUACGGAUGAAAGCGGGGGACCUUCGGGCCUCGCGCUAUAGGGUUGGCCGAUGGCUGAUUAGCUAGUUGGUGGGGUAAAGGCCUACCAAGGCGACGAUCAGUAGCUGGUCUGAGAGGACGACCAGCCACACUGGGACUGAGACACGGCCCAGACUCCUACGGGAGGCAGCAGUGGGGAAUUUUGGACAAUGGGCGAAAGCCUGAUCCAGCAAUGCCGCGUGUGUGAAGAAGGCCUUCGGGUUGUAAAGCACUUUUGUCCGGAAAGAAAACCUUGGCCCUAAUACGGUCGGGGGAUGACGGUACCGGAAGAAUAAGCACCGGCUAACUACGUG
rnacentral:rRNA from 1 species